rnacentral:rRNA from 1 species
GCAUAACGCGAAGAACCUUACCUGGGCUCGAAAUGCAGAUGACCAUCGGCGAAAGUCGACUUCCGCAAGGACAUCUGUAUAGGUGCUGCAUGGCUGUCGUCAGCUCGUGUCGUGAGAUGUUGGGUUAAGUCCCGCAACGAGCGCAACCCUUGUUCUCUGUUGCCAUCAGGUCAAGCUGGGCACUCUGAGGAGACCGCCGGUGACAAACCGGAGGAAGGUGGGAUGACGUCAAGUCAGCAUGGCCUUUAUGUCCAGGGCUACACACGUGCUACAAUGGCCGGUACAAAGCGCUGCAAGCCCGCGAGGGUGAGCCAAUCGCAUAAAGCCGGUCUCAGUUCGGAUUGUAGGCUGCAACUCGCCUGCAUGAAGUUGGAAUCGCUAGUAAUCGCGAAUCAGCCAUGUCGCGGUGAAUACGUUCCCGGGUCUUGUACUACACCGGACGGUCGGU